rnacentral:rRNA from 1 species
AAAGAGAUAAUUAAUUAUAAAAGUUAUUGUUGAAAAAAUAUUUUAAAUAAUUAAUUUGAAAUGAAAUGUUAAUCGUUUUUAAAUAUAUCUAGUUUUUUUAGAAAAAAAUUUAAUUUUAAAUUGUAUAAAAAAAAAAUAUUUAUUAAUAAAUAUUUUUUUUAUACAAUUUUAUAUUUUAAGGGAUAAGCUUUAAAUUAAAUUAAUAUAAUUAAAUUAAAAAUUUAUUGAAAAUUAUAUAAUUUAAAUUGUUAAAAAAUUUUAAUUUAUUAUAAAUAAUUUCAUUUUAAAUAAAAUUUUUUAAAAAUUUAUUUAUUUAUAAAAAAAUAAUUUUAAAUUUUUUUAAAAUUAGUUAUAAUGAUAAAAUUAGUAUAUAAUGUAAAUUAUAAAAUAAAAUAAUUUAGAUAAUUAAUAAAAAGGAAUUCGGCAAAAAUUUAUAUUCCCUUGUUUAUCAAAAACAUGUCUUUUUGUAAAUAAUAUAAAGUCUAAUCUGCCCCCUGAUAAAUAUAUUAAAGGGCUGCAGUAUUUUGACUGUACAAAGGUAGCAUAAUCAUUAGUCAUUUAAUUGAUGACUUGUAUGAAAGAUUGAAUGAGAUAUAAACUGUCUUUAUAUUAAAUUAUAAAAUUUAAUUUUUUAAUUAAAAAGUUAAAAUAUAAAAAAAAGACGAGAAGACCCCUAUAGAGUUUUAUAAAAAUUUUAAUUAAAAUUAAUUUUUAAUUUAAUUAUUAAAAUUAAAAUUUUUAUUUUGUUGGGGUGAUAAAAAAAUAAAAUUAACUUUUUUUUUAAUUUAACAUAAAUAAAUGAUAAAUUGAUCCAAUUUUAUUGAUUAAAAGAAAAAAUUACCUUAGGGAUAACAGCGUAAUUUUUUUUUUUAGUUCAAAUAAAAAAAAGAGUUUGCGACCUCGAUGUUGGAUUAAGAUAAAAUUUAAAUGCAGAAGUUUAAAAUUUUUG